GGGGAGUUAUACCGUAGGAGUAGCGGGACUGGCUGUAAACCAGUUGCCGAAAGGCUCGGGUGGUUCAACUCCAUCACUUCCCA
rnacentral:tRNA from 1 species